rnacentral:tRNA from 1 species
GGUUGUGGCUCAGAGGAAGAGUUCUUGCCUAGAAUGCGUGAGGCACUGGGUUUGAUCCUCAGCACCA